UACGUAGGGUGCAAGCAUUAAUCGGAAUUAUUGGGCGUAAAGGGCGCGUAGGCGGACGAGUAAGUCAGAUGUGAAAUUCCGGGGCUCAACCUCGGAGCUGCAUUUGAAACUGCUUAUCUAGAGGGUUGACGGAGAAAACAGAAUUCCACGUGUAGCGGUGAAAUGCGUAGAUAUGUGGAAGAACACCAGUGGCGAAGGCGGUUUUCUAGUUAAUACCUGACGCUGAGGCGCGAAAGCAAGGGGAGCAAACAGG
rnacentral:rRNA from 1 species